rnacentral:rRNA from 1 species
AUGGCGACGGCGGCAGCAUCUCGGCCCAGCGGCCCUGUCCUUCUGAGCCCCUUCCCCAACUACCAAUCCGCCUCGCUCUCCCGCGUCAAGCUCUCCGCCGGUGGCUCGCCGGUCAAGUCCAUCAGCGCCCUGUCUCCCCCCUCCUCCCCCUCGGCCGCCACCAAGAUCCGUCGGUCCUGCAUGUGCUCCCCGACGAACCACCCGGGCUCGUUCCGUUGCAGCCUCCACAAGGAGCGCAAGCAGGAUGCGGUCCCGGCCGUCAGCAGCAAGCAAGCCUCCCCGCCUUCGCCGCCGCCCAUCGGCAGCGGCCGCUCUAGGCGCAUGGUAAACGUGCUGGCGCAGCGCGUCCCCAUGGGGAGCGGGCACUGGGCACGCAGAGCGCUGGCGCCGUCUCCCUCGGUACAGCAGCUUCAGCAGAGGAAGCGCGCGGACCGGUUUCGCGCCGGACCCAGCCGGCUCUCCGGCGUCUCCAUGGCCGGACGCCGCGCAGGCGGCAGCCAGUAA